AGACAGGGGGAGAGAGGAAUCAGUUUCAAGGAAAGGGUUUUUUAUUUUUAAUUUCAAUUUAAACUUCUCUAAAUGUUUUUUUUUUCUUUCAUUUAUAAUAUCUACAAAAGCUUUCCUAGAUAAUGAACAAGCUAGUUUCGCUGUAAACAACCAUGCAACUACUACCAGCUAGUGAUAAAUGCAUGUAACAGCAAGAAAAACCCAUCUCCUUCCUUGAUGUUAAGUGGCAUUUUUCAUGAUUGCUCAGGUGAAAAUGUACUUCGCUAAUGCUGGAGCAUGGAUAACCACAGAAGGGAAGCCAAAAUACUGAAAAGCAGAAAGGAGUAAGGGAAUUGAGGACUCAAAAUCAUGGGAUCAGAUGGCAGUAGCCUGACAUAAUCUUUUGGAUCCCUGAGAACAUACUGCCAAUAUAUGAAGAGAGGAGCAAGCUAGAGGUGCACCGCUGGAUAAUUUCGUGCAGUUUUGGUACGUUUGAGACCUUUGGAAACAGAGUUUCGGGCUUUUGCUCGCGAAUAACAUUCCAAAAGGGUCUAGCUGGCUACUUGAGACCGUACCAUGAUAUAUCUGUAUUUGAUCACAAUUGUUGUUUGGUUGCUGGAUCUCUUCUUCAGGUGCUGCUGGUUUUCUGGUGGAUUUGCCCAGUUGGCAAUUCAUCUCCUCAUGCCCUGUCUUGUUAAAAAUUUUGCUAGUGUUUUACGUUCUUCAUUUUUUCCCAUUAAUUUUCAAGAUAUUUAAUUUAACCCGGACCAUGCAUAUUCUAGAGUCCUCACAGAGAAAAGAAAGAAUAUGUUUGUUUUUUGAAAAGUAAUUAUUUUUGUUUUUAAUUUAUUAA